UACGGGGGGGGGCAAGCGUUGUUCGGAAUUACUGGGCGUAAAGGGCUCGUAGGCGGCCAACUAAGUCGGAUGUGAAAUCCCCAGGCUCAACCUGGGAACUGCAUCCGAUACUGGAUGGCUUGAAUUCGGGAGAGGGAUGCAGAAUUCCAGGUGUAGCGGUGAAAUGCGUAGAUAUCUGGAGGAACACCGGUGGCGAAGGCGGCAUCCUGGACCGACAUUGACGCUGAUGAGCGAAAGCUAGGGGAGCAAACGGG
rnacentral:rRNA from 1 species